rnacentral:rRNA from 1 species
AUUGAACGCUGGCGGCAUGCUUUACACAUGCAAGUCGAACGGCAGCGCGGGCUUCGGCCUGGCGGCGCGUGGCGCACGGGUGAGUAAUACAUCGGAACGUGCCCAGUAGUGGGGGAUAGCUCGGCGAAAGCCGGAUUAAUACCGCAUACGACCUGCGGGUGAAACCGGGGGAUCUUCGGACCUCGCGCUAUUUGAGCGGCCGAUGGCCGAUUAGCUAGUUGGUGGGGUAAAGGCCUACCAAGGCGAGGAUCUGUAGCUGGUCUGAGAGGGGGACCAGCCACACUGGGACUGAGCCACGGCCACGACUCCUACGGGAGGCAGCAGUGGGGAAUUUUGGACAACGGUGGAAAGCCUGAUCCAGCAAUGCGGAGUGUGUGAUGACGGCCUCCGGGUUGUAAAGAACUUUUGGCGGGAACGAAAAGGACUGUGCCAAUACGAAGGUUCGAUGACGGUACCCGCAGAAUAAGCACCGGCUAACUACGUG